rnacentral:rRNA from 1 species
AUUGAACGCUGGCGGCAUGCCUUACACAUGCAAGUCGAACGGCAGCACGGGGCAACCUGGUGGCGAGUGGCGAACGGGUGAGUAAUGCAUCGGAACGUACCUUUCAGUGGGGGAUAACGUAGCGAAAGUUACGCUAAUACCGCAUAUUCGGUGAGCAGGAAAGCAGGGGAUCGCAAGACCUUGCGCUGAUUGAGCGGCCGAUGUCAGAUUAGCUAGUUGGUGAGGUAAAGGCUCACCAAGGCGACGAUCUGUAGCGGGUCUGAGAGGAUGAUCCGCCACACUGGAACUGAGACACGGUCCAGACUCCUACGGGAGGCAGCAGUGGGGAAUUUUGGACAAUGGGGGCAACCCUGAUCCAGCCAUGCCGCGUGAGUGAAGGAGGCCUUCGGGUUGUAAAGCUCUUUCGGCCGGGAAGAAAUCGCACGGGCUAAUACCCUGUGUGGAUGACGGUACCGGAAUAAGAAGCACCGGCUAACUACGUGCCAGCCGCCGCCGUAAGAC